rnacentral:rRNA from 1 species
UACGUAGGGGCCGAGCGUUGUCCGGAGUUAUUGGGCGUAAAGCGCGCGCAGGCGGCCUCGCGCGCCCGACGUGAAAGCCCCCGGCUUAACCGGGGAGGGUCGUUGGGGACGGCGGGGCUUGAGGGCGGGAGAGGGUGGUGGAAUUCCCGGUGUAGUGGUGAAAUGCGCAGAGAUCGGGAGGAACACCCGUGGCGAAGGCGGCCACCUGGGCCGACCCUGACGCUGAGGCGCGAAGGCGUGGGGAGCGAACGGG